GUGAUAAAGGAGAGAGGGGAGUUGAGAAAGAAGUAAGUGAAGAAGGAGGACUCAUAAUUGCACCAAAAAGAAAGGAUGCUACAGAUGGUGCGUGUAAUGAAAAUACAAAAAAAACGAAAAGCCAUAACACUGGAAACAAAAUUGAACAUCAUAACAGACCAUGAUGCUGGAAAUUCCACUAAAGAAUUAGCUACCAAAUAUUCACUAAGCAAAUCAAC